rnacentral:rRNA from 1 species
GGUUGUCAUGCCAAUGGCACUGCCCGGUAGCUAAAUGCGGAAGAGAUAAGUGCUGAAAGCAUCUAAGCACGAAACUUGCCCCGAGAUGAGUUCUCCCUGAGACUUAGAGUCUCCUGAAGGAACGUUGAAGACGACGACGUUGAUAGGCCGGGUGUGUAAGCGCAGCGAUGCGUUGAGCUAACCGGUACUAAUGAACCGUGAGGCUUAACCUUA